AAUCCUCAGUGAAAACUCCAUAACUGAGUUACGGAAAGAUACUUUUGAAGGCCUGCUGUCUCUACGAUAUUUAGAUUUAUCAUGCAACAAGAUACAAUUUAUCGAAAGAGGGACAUUUGAAGCACUACCAUUCCUGCAGGUCGUAAAUCUUGGUUGCAAUUUCCUUACCAAACUGAGCUUUGGGACAUUCCAAGCAUGGCACAACAUGCAGUUUUU